UACGUAGGGUGCAAGCGUUUGUCCGGAAUUAUUGGGCGUAAAGAGCGCGCAGGCGGCUUGGCAAGUCGGGUGUGAAAUCCCGGGGCUCAACCCCGUGACUGCAUCCGAUACUGUCAGGCUAGAGGUAGGUAGGGGAGAUCGGAAUUCCUGGUGUAGCGGUGAAAUGCGCAGAUAUCAGGAGGAACACCGGUGGCGAAGGCGGAUCUCUGGGCCUUAGCCUGACGCUCAGGCGCGAAAGCUAGGGGAGCGAACAGG
rnacentral:rRNA from 1 species